CAGUAUAAUUAAAUAAAGAGGUAUCUGAUAGACACCUGGCAUGGAAGAGUGAGAUUAUGCAGCAAAGAGGAUUGUUGCUUUUCUAGGUUUGGCCAUAGUAGUCAAUAUUUAUAUAAUCGUGAACUAUUUUCUAAAAUCAGGGAAAAAGCAAGCAGUUAGCAUCGACAUUGGAAUUCAAAAGAGUGAUGACGUCAUCAAUAGUCGUACACAUCCUGUGUGUACUUUGUAUGGCAAGAAUUGUACCCGGCCAAACGUACACCCGCGAGUGUGACGAAGAGACUAUGAAAAAUCGAUUUGGGUUUAAGGAACACUCGACAGACUGCAGUAAAUAUAUCCAGUGCCAUUUGAACAUAGACGGUCAGCUUGUCGGAAUUGUGAGAGAUUGUGGUUAUGGAACAUAUUGGAACCCAACUUUUUUGACGUGUAUAUUAGCAACAGACACUGUGUGCAAACAUGAUUUGUGUUUUCAACAACCAGACGGGAGACGAAGAAAAGGACAAGGAAAUUGUAGAGGUUUCUAUGAAUGCCAGGAAAGUACGUCUAUGCCAAUGUGUUGUCCUUUUGGACAAUAUUUUCAUGACAGUCUCGUAUGUGUAAACAAUACAGCAGAUAUCAAGUGCAAACAACGUUGUUUUGACACCAUUUUGAGCACACAUGCGACUAAAUCAUCUGGAAUAUUUGCUGAACAUACUUUAAAAAACCCGUCUGCGAGGCAAAAGGAAACAAAUAAGCCUAUAGCCAGCAGCUCAAAUACAGACAAAGUUCAAACAACUACUACAAAAACGGUCUGUGACAAAGGCGUUAUACCUGGAAAACCUGGAAUGUAUAAAGAGACGCUUAAUGGCGGAUGGAUUAUAAAAAGACCUUGUCCGACUGGAACAAUAUUUGUACAAGCUGCCUGCAGCUGCAUCUCCAUUUGGGAUCAAACUAAAGUACCUGAAUUUGCAUAGUAGCCCAAACACCGAUUUUUACGCCGAAAAUCCACCCACCAUUUACGCUUGACGAAAACGAUCAGUCGGCCAACGUGUAUCAAAUUAUCAACCACAAUGUUACAGUGAGAAAGUGAGGAGCCAUUUUCGAUAAAAAGAACUGUUUUAGAAUUCCAAUAUACCUUAAUAUGGAUAAUACAAUUUUUAGUUAUCCAAGUUAUCUAACUGUUUAUGUUAAUUUUAAAUUUAAAUUUCAUUAUUCAGGUUUUUCACAACGAAAUGUUUUGUUUAAGUUCUUGUCAUAUGGGAUCACUGAGAGUUUUUGGAAAUAAAUCAAUGUUAUACUUCUUCGCUUCGACAAAUUUAAGCUUUGCAUUACAGUUAAUCUAAACGACUGUCGUUUUCGCAUGUUGGGUGCAUUUAAACUGAAUAUGAUUUCCGGAAACCAU